rnacentral:lncRNA from 1 species
UGGUCAAAUAAGACAAAAAAUUGUAAUCAAGAAAAAUGUAAUCACUGAAGAAGCCAAAUAUGUGAACUUGCAAGUCUUUUAAUAUCCAAACAACACAAUCAUUCAUGAUACUAAAAAAACUCAAAAAUAUAGGACUCAAUAAAUAUCGAAACAAACACCCAUUCAAUGUAAUUAUUGUGCAAGCCAGACAGCUUGGAGUCAACCAAG